CUCUCCUUGAGCAAGCAGAAAAGGAUAAAUCAAGUCUUGAAUUAGAACAUUAUAAGAAGCUUAAAGCAAAAGUUGCUGAAAUAUUGGAAGAGAAGACACAAGUAGAGGAGAAGAAACAGAUUAUUACUGAAGAUUAUGAGAAACUGAAACUCAA